AUUGAACGCUGGCGGCAGGCCUAACACAUGCAAGUCGAGCGAGCGGCGGACGGGUGAGUAAUGUCUGGGAAACUGCCUGAUGGAGGGGGAUAACUACGGGAAACGGUAGCUAAUACAGCAUAACAUCAGAUGUGCCCAGAUGGGAUUAGCUAGUAGGUGGGGUAACGGCUCACCUAGGCGACGAUCCCUAGCUGGUCUGAGAGGAUGACCAGCCACAGUGGACAUGAGACACGGUCCGGACUCCAACGGGAGGAGGCAUUGGGGAAUAUUUGCCAAUGGGCGAAAGCCUGAUGCGGCCAUGCCGGGUGUGUGAAGAAGGCCUUCGAGUUGUAAAGCACUUUCAUCGGGGAGGCGUUACCCGCAGAAGAAGCACCGGCUAACUACGUGCCAGCAGCCGCGGUAAUUC
rnacentral:rRNA from 1 species